GCCCGGCUAUCUCAGUCGGUAUAGCAUGGGACUCUUAAUCGCAGGGUCGUGGGUUCGAGCCCCACGUUGGGCG
rnacentral:tRNA from 1 species